UUAAUAACUGCGUUGCUUGACGUUAGCAACAGAAGAAGCACCGGCUAACUCCGUGCCAGCAGCCGCGGUAAUACGGAGGGUGCGAGCGUUAAUCGGAAUUACUGGGCGUAAAGCGCAUGCAGGUGGUUUGUUAAGUCAGAUGUGAAAGCCCGGGGCUCAACCUCGGAAGGUCAUUUGAAACUGGCAAACUAGAGUACUGUAGAGGGGGGUAGAAUUUCAGGUGUAGCGGUGAAAUGCGUAGAGAUCUGAAGGAAUACCAGUGGCGAAGGCGGCCCCCUGGACAGAUACUGACACUCAGAUGCGAAAGCGUGGGGAGCAAACAGGAUUAGAUACCCUGGUAGUCCACGCCGUAAACGAUGUCUACUUGGAGGUUGUGGCCUUGAGCCGUGGCUUUCGGAGCUAACGCGUUAAGUAGACCGCCUGGGGAGUACGGUCGCAAGAUUAAAACUCAAAUGAAUUGACGGGGGCCCGCACAAGCGGUGGAGCAUGUGGUUUAAUUCGAUGCAACGCGAAGAACCUUACCUACUCUUGACAUCCAGAGAACUUUCCAGAGAUGGAUUGGUGCCUUCGGGAACUCUGAGACAGGUGCUGCAUGGCUGUCGUCAGCUCGUGUUGUGAAAUGUUGGGUUAAGUCCCGCAACGAGCGCAACCCUUAUCCUUGUU
rnacentral:rRNA from 1 species